rnacentral:tRNA from 1 species
GGAUAGCUCAGUUGGUUAGAACGUGAUGCUGAUAAUACCAAGGCUGUAGGUUUGAUCCCCAUAUGGGAUUCG